rnacentral:rRNA from 1 species
UGAGUAACACGUAUCCAACCUGCCGUCUACUCUUGGACAGCCUUCUGAAAGGAAGAUUAAUACAAGAUGGCAUCAUGAGUCCGCAUGUUCACAUGAUUAAAGGUAUUCCGGUAGACGAUGGGGAUGCGUUCCAUUAGGUAGUAGGCGGGGUAACGGCCCACCUAGCCCGCGAUGGGUAGCCGGGUUGAGAGACCGACCGGCCACAUUGGGACUGAGAUACGGCCCAG